CUUGAUGUUGAUUGGAUGUUAAAGCUUGUAGUUGAUUGGAUGCUUUUUGAGCCCUACCAAGGGUAUAAAAGCAGGGUCAGAAAAGGCAAAAGGGUGAGAAGAUUGGAAGAUGCAAAGAGAGCUAUAACAGUAGGUGUGUUGAGCCUGCUGUGGAAGAAUAAAGGCUGUUCUCCGGCUCUUCAUGGGCUGCUCGGUUCUUUCCCCGGUCAAAUGAACAAGAGCUGUAACACUAGCUGUACACAUUGCUGCAACAUUUUGGUUCCCUGACCAGGAAAGCUGACCUAGCUGGCCCCUUGAAGUCACCAGAUCGGUGAACGGUGCAGAUGGAGAACGGCACAAACACCACGGACAUUGGGCUGAGAUCUAUGGUGUGGACGGCAAGUGGACUGCACCCGUAUGGUGGGUGGCACCGAGUAGCAUCUCUCUCCUUCAGCACCAAGAGCUGUUGGCCAAGGGCAAUAAGCUUGCCAAGGCUUUGUUGAGGGAGGGGAAGCAGGGGCACUGAGGCAGACCACACUGCAACAGGCCUCCCGGCGGGUGCUGACCUCCACGGUGCUGUUGGUCAGGGGCAAUAGCAGGAGGCUGAGCAGGUGGGUGCCGGGCUAAGCUGCAGCAGCAGACCAAGGCCAUGAUGUUGGACAAGGUACAGUCCCUGGACCCACCGGAGUAGGCUGUCAGUGGGACAGAAGAGGAGCCUAUCAGCUCCUAGGGUGUAAGCCUGUCAGUGGGACAGAAGGGGAGGCCCAUUAGGCUCCUAAGGAUGGGGAUCCCCCAGGGGAGGGAAUGUAUCUGAGUGGAACAGUGACUGCUUGCAGUCAUUGUGUCGGUAGCCCCAUAGCUUCGGCUAUGGGAUUUGAGUGGGUCCUAAUCUGGGGUUCUGUGGCAGCAGCAUAACGGUGAUUGCCAAGACACGCCUAAGUUCCCUCAAGGGACAAAGCUAGGUGGCCACCUGAGAGCAGGAAAGUAGUGUUGGGUGGCGUAGGGAACAGGAACGCUGGUUAGGAACCAGAGCAAGGACCAGAGUCUGGGCAGGGACAAAGUUCAGAAAAGGAGUGUUGUCAGGCGGCGUAGGGAAUGGAAGCGCUGGUUAGGAGAUAGAGCAGGGAUCAGAGUCUAAGCAGGGACAAGGUUCAGAAAAGGAGUGUUGGGAGGUGUUGGGAACAGGAGUGCUGGAUAAACAUGGGAGGGUUCGAAUCCAAGCCAACAGUUGUAAGGUGUGUGCUGAUAAGUUUCAUGCAUUCAUUGUGGAGAGGUGACUGGGACUGCACCUGACACCCCACCACCAUCGGUUUCUCCACUGCUGGCAUCUCCACCAUUCGUCCACUGGUUGCGGUCUGCCCCAGCCUUCCAGAUGCCUCUGCGUGAAAUGCGAGGUCUGCUGCAGGUUCGGGAUGACGGAACCAUCUAGCUGGGGCAACCUGCCCUGUAUUAUCAGCCUUUCUCCACCACCGAUCUGUUGAAUUUGAAGCACCAUAUGCCGUCCUACUCAGAGAAACCGCAGGCCCUCAUUGACCUUCUGGAGUCUAUCUUCCAGAUUCACCAUCCCACGUGGGAAGAUUGCCCGGCAGCUCCUGCUGACCCUCUUCAGUACCUAACGGCGACAGAUCAUGAUUGGAACUCGGAAGUGGCUGCAGGAACGGGUGCUGGUGGGCACCCUGGAUGUGGAAUGAUGGGUAUCACGAGCUGGCCCCUUGACGGCAUGGGCAGAGCUGGCCCCUUGAAGCCACCAGAUCGGUGAAUGGAGCAGAUGUAGAACAGCACAAACGCUGAGGACAGCGGGCUGAGGUCUACGGUGUGGACUCGCCAGUCUGGGCCCUGUGGUGUGCGGCCGCCUGUGGGUCCGAGGGCGCUGGCUCAAGGGCCCAGGCCGCUGGAGCGGACGGAGUCAGGAGACGGCUCUGGGUUCAGGGAGCAACCUGCUCAGGCCGGGCCUGGGGAGGAGCGUGUACUGGGAAGAGCACGCGGGCCUGGCCAGCAGGUGUGUUGUGGGGCCUGAGGCAGAGGCGGGAUGCCAAGACAGGCCUGAAGUGGAAGGUGGGACAGCAGCCCAGACACGGGAGUUGAAAGAGGGGCCCAGGGCCCCUGUCACUGGAACCGGGGCGGUUUAAUCUUGUGGUUGUGCCAGUUUAAUAUGAAGCUAUAUUUUUUUCUCUGCUCCAAACCCACCCUUUAUAAGGAACACUGCAAUGCUGGAGUUGAGUCUGUAAACCAUAUUUGGCAUUGCCAGCUACUCUUCCUUAGGACCCUCGGUCUUGGGGCCGGGCGCCUGUGAGUCUCUGUGUGGCCGGCGGCUCCUUGUCGUGGGCUCCUUGUUGUGGGGCGUCACCCACCGCGGCUUGGACUCCCCAGCACCCGGGGUGAGCCCCAGACCGCCAGCCUCUUGCCGGCGUGGAGACACCGGCACCCACAGCAGAGACGAGAAAGUCCACGUAAAGAUCAGGAUGGGUGGGAAACAUGUUUUCUUUAUUUCCUCAGAAGUCCAGGUUUUCUCAUGGAAGUGCAAUCUCAGUUCUGCGUGCGUGGCCAGUGUUUUGUUUCUCUAUUCAUUUCCACCUGCCUUUUCCCCUCCUUCACCAAUGCCUCAUUGCUUGAUGACUCCAGCUCUGCAAUACUCAGUUUUGACAGGGGGACCAUCGUGAAGGGCUCUGACCUCAUCAUCCGCACGCUGAGCAGGCUGAGGAGGAGGAGGAAGAGGGGCACUGAAAGGAAGGAAAGAAUACUUGUGGUAGAGCGCUUUCCUCACUUUGAAGCACCUCUGCAUCUCAUGGCAUUGGCCGACUCUAACAGUUUCACGAGGAAGGGGUGUGGGAUUCAUCACCUCCUUUGUCCUAGUGAGGAAAUCAAAGCUCCAAGAGGAGAACCACUCUGCGCCUUGUCAUCUCCCAGGAGCCACGUCGUCAUCUUCAGCUGGUGACAAUCAACUGUAAGACAUCAACAGGUUCAUUUAAUUGUCAGCCCCACGUCCGUGCCCAGUAAUGGCCAGGUACCAGUGUUACUCAGGUGGCCCAUAUUACACAGGUACCAGUAUUGUGCAGGUUUGAGUUUGCACAGAUGCCUGUGUUGCACAGCUGUACCCAGUAUGGCACAGGUGCCAAUACUGCACAGGUGUUCAGUAUUUUCCGGGUGCCAGUGCUGCUCAGGAGCCUGUGUUGCCCAGGUACCCAGUAUUAUACAGGAGCCAGUAUUGCAGAAGUGCCAGUAUCGCUCAGAUGCUAGGAUUGUACCGGUGCCAGUACUGCCCAGGAGGCCAACAUCGCACAGGUGUCUGGUGUUCCACAGGUAGCCAGGGUUGCGCAGGUGCCCAGCAUAGCGCAGAUGCUAGGGUUGUGCAGAUGGCCAGCACUUAAUGUGGGAUGUGUUCGCUGGAGUCUCCGGGACCACAUUUCUUCUUAGGAAGAAUAGAAAGUUAGACAUAAGUCUUGUACUGGUUCCUUGUCUAGAACAUUCCUGGGUGUUUGGGCUGACCUCAAGCUCAGCCUUUUUCUGUCUCAUGUUCCCACACAGGCCAGGAUGGCAUUCUGGCCUGAGAAGGUGUCAGAGCUGAGCUAAACAGUAAGGUAGGACUGUCUGUGUUCUCUGCUGUCCCUCAUCUAUCCCACUCUGUAUCCCACCAGUGCCUCGGCACCCCUUUCGGUUCUCCCAUCUGCAGGCAGGGGUCGGACCGCACUGCUCCCCUGCUUGCUCCCAGCCUAGAGGGCUGCAUGUGGCAGACAGCUGUGCAGUCCUCAUCCUAAAGAAGAAAACUUGAACUGUGGAACUUCUGGCUUACUUGGGGUGAAAGUUUGGGGAUCUCAGAUGCCGUUUAGGGCAGGCUUUAUCUUUAUGAGGUAGCCCUUCUGAAUCCUUUGUUUUCAUUUCUCCUCUGGGAUUCUACCCAGGCAUCUUUUGUCCCAGAGGAACUUCGGAUGUGUCUACAUGAUCGUGAAGAACUUAGCAUCCAUGCCACUGUUACAGGCUAACUUGCUCACUUGAAAGCAGGGCAAAUCUCAGGCCCUUCACAAGUCUUGGCAAGACUCUGUCCUUACUUAAAUGCACAGUCAAAACACCCUAGAGGUCAAACAUGCUGAUCUUUACGUUGUGGAUGAGAAGACUGGCGUGUGGAGGAGUUGGGGACUCUCCCUGGGUUGCAGAGCUACUUAGUGCUGGAAAUGAGACUUUUGUCCAGCUCUGUCUGAUGCCAGACCACUGCCUUUCCGCGACCUCGUGCUGACGCAGCACACUGCAAACAUUGAUGCCUGCAGCUCUCCUUGUGGCACUGGGCCGGUAAAGUCCUUUUGGCCCUUGAGUCAUCCCCCUUGCUAUGAAGAUGAGAAUGUUCAGGCAAAGAAUGGAAAACAAUUGAGCAGCCUUUCCUCUAAGGAGCAUAAGCAGAUAAAACCGUGAGGCGUUUCUUCCACUCAAAGAAGAGAAGGUUCUUCUCUAAUGCUUACAUAGCAGUUGGCUCUACGCCACGACCCACUGCCCCGCUCUGGAGAGCAGGCCAGAGCCGCCUCUCACCAGGCAGAUGCGUAGAGUCACAUGACACCCGGACCAAACUCCAGGGCGGCAGGA